AUUGAACGCUGGCGGCAUGCCUUACACAUGCAAGUCGAACGAGUGGCGCACGGGUGAGCAAUACAUCGGAACGUGUCCUAUCGUGGGGGAUAACUGAUCGAAAGACCAGCUAAUACCGCAUACGAUUGGAGCGGCCGCUGCCCGAUUAGCGAGGUGGUGUGGUAAAGGCUCACCCAGGCGACGAUCGGUAGCUGGUCUGAGAGGACGACCAGCCACACUGGAACUGAGACACGGCCCAGACUCCUACGGGAGGCAGCAGUGGGGAAUUUUGUACAAUGGGGGCAACCCUGAUCCAGCCAUGCCGCGUGUAGGAUGAAGGUCUUCGGAUUGUAAACUGCUUUUAUCGGGGAAGCGGUACCUGAAGAAUAAGCACCGGCUAACUACGUGCCAGCAGCCGCGGUAAUUC
rnacentral:rRNA from 1 species